rnacentral:rRNA from 1 species
UUUUUUCAGACUAGCCAUGCACGUCUAGUACAAACUAAAUGAUGGUGAAACUGCAAAUGGCUCAUUACAACGGUUAUGAUGUACCCGGGAGUUCCGAUGGAUAUUUCCAGUAACACUAGAACUAAUACAUGUCCCUGCGUUUAUUAGUUUCGCACAGUCCGUCGCUGAGUCAUGGUAAACAGUUGAUCGACUCGACGUCCCGGAACAGUUUCCGCCCCAUCAGCUUCGAUGGUUGGGUAUUGGCCUACCAUUGCAACAACGGGUAACGAGGAAUUAGGGUUUGAUUUCGGAGAGGGAGCCUGAGAAACGGCUACCACAUCUACGGAUGGCAGCAGGCGCGCAAAUUACCCAAUGCAGACACUGUGAGGUAGUGACGAGAAAUAAUAAAGCGGGACUUCUGUUUCGCUAUUAUAAUGAGGAAUAACCAAAGGUCAUUCCGAUUAGCAACUGAUGGGAAAGUCUGGUGCCAGCAGCCGCGGUAAUACCAGCGUCAGUAGCAU